rnacentral:rRNA from 1 species
GACGAACGCUGGCGGCGUGCUUAACACAUGCAAGUCGAACGGAAAGGCCCUGCUUGCGGGGUACUCGAGUGGCGAACGGGCGAGUAACACGCGGGUGGUCUGCCCUGCACUUCGGGAUAGGCCAGGGCAAGUGGGUGUAAUAACGGACAGGAGACAUAUUUAGCGUGAUGGUUGGAAAGUUUUUUCGGUGUAGGCUGAGCUCGAGGGCUAUCUGCUUGUCGGGGGGGUAAUGGCGUACCAAGGCGGCGACGGGUAGCCGGCCUGUGGGGGUGGACGGCCAUAUUGGGACUGAGAGACGGCCCAGACUCCUACGGGAGGCAGCAGUGCGGAAGAUUGCACAAUGAGCGCAAGCCUGAUGCAGCGACGCCGCGUGUGGUAUGACGGCCUUCUGGUUGUAAACUCCUUUCGCUAGGGACGAAGCUUUUUGUGACGGUACCUAGAUAGGAAGCACCGGCUAACUACGUG